rnacentral:rRNA from 1 species
GGUGAACGCUGGCGAUGUGCCUAAGACAUGCAAGUCGAGCGGGACUUGUUGUUUACACAUUUUCUCCUAAUAAUAGGGGAUUUUGUGUAAAUAAUAAGUUUAGCGGCGAACGGGUGAGUAAUAAGUACGAACAUACCUCUUUGUGGAACAUAGCCCGCCGAAAGGCGGAGUAAUUUUCCAUAGUCUCGCAAGAGUAAAGUCGCAAGACGCAGAGAGAGUGGCGUACUCGCUACCAGCUUGUUGGUAAGGUAAUGGCUUACCAAGGCUAUGACGGCUACCGGCUCUUAGCGGAGAGUCCGGCACAAUGGGACUGAGACACGGCCCAUACUUCUACGGAAGGCAGCAGUUAGGAAUUUUGCGCAAUGGACGAAAGUCUGACGCAGCGACAUCGCGUGUGGGAUGACGGCCCUCGGGUUGUAAACCACUUUUUGGGAGCCAUGAAGGCGCCCAGAAUAAGGAACUACUAACUACGUG